rnacentral:rRNA from 1 species
UCUGGUUGAUCCUGCCUGAACUGAUGUGUUCAUUUCAAAGAUUAAGCCAUGCAUGUAUAAGUAUAAUCUGCCAGUCAGAGAAACUGCGUACGGCUCAUUACACCAGCCUUAAUUUACUUGACCUUGACACCCUACUUGGAUAACUGUGGUAAUUCUAGAGCUAAUACAUGCACCAAAGCUCCAAUCUCCCCAGAGCGGAGCGCAUUUGUUCGCCACAAAACCAAGCGCCUCAGGGCGUUCAGUGUUGACUCAGAACAACUAAGCUGAUCGCACGGUCUUGCACCGGCGACGUGUCUUUCAAGUGUCUGCCUUAUCAACUUUCGAUGGUAGUGUAUCUGACUACCAUGGUGAUGACGGGUAACGGAGGAUAAGGGUUCGACUCCGGAGAAGGGGCCUGAGAAAUGGCCACUACGUCUAAGGAUGGCAGCAGGCGCGCAAAUUACCCACUCUCGACGCGAGGAGGUAGUGACGAGAAAUAAAGAGACCGUUCUCAUCUGAGGCCGGUCAUCGGAAUGGGUACAAUUUAAACCCUUUAACGAGUAUCUAUGAGAGGGCAAGUCUGGUGCCAGCAGCCGCGGUAAUUCCAGCUCUCAAAAUGCAUAGAAUUAUUGCUGCGGUUAAAAAGCUCGUAGUUGGAUCUGUGCUGAGCGACCGGUCUGCCCACUGGGCACGCACUGGAUCGCCCGGCUUUCCCUGCCGGUCUCUGACGUUGGUUUUAACCGGCUGGCGUCAGUGGGCUGGCGAGUUUACUUUGAACAAAUCAGAGUGCUUCAAACAGGCGUCUCGCUUGAAUGUUCGUGCAUGGAAUAAUAGAAGAGGAUCACGGUCCGAUUUUAUUGGUUUUGCUGACCGAGAUAAUGGUUAACAGAGACAAACGGGGCCAUUCGUAUUGCUACGUGAGAGGUGAAAUUCUUGGACCGUAGCAAGACGGACUACAGCGAAAGCAUUUGGCAAGAAUGUCUUCAUUAAUCAAGAACGAAAGUCAGAGGUUCGAAGGCGAUCAGAUACCGCCCUAGUUCUGACCGUAAACGAUGCCAACUAGCGAUCCGCCGGCGGAUUCAUUCGCCCUGGUGGGGAGCUUCCCGGAAACGAAAGUCUUCCGGUUCCGGGGGAAGUAUGGUUGCAAAGCUGAAACUUAAAGGAAUUGACGGAAGGGCACCACCAGGAGUGGAGCCUGCGGCUUAAUUUGACUCAACACGGGGAAACUCACCCGGCCCGGACACCGUAAGGAUUGACAGAUUGAUAGCUUUUUCAUGAUUCGGUGGAUGGUGGUGCAUGGCCGUUCUUAGUUCGUGGAGCGAUUUGUCUGGUUUAUUCCGAUAACGAGCGAGACUCUGGCCUACUAAAUAGUUGACGCAUUGCCACUGUGCGCACAACUUCUUAGAAGGAUUUUCGGUGUUUUCAACCGCACGAAAUUGAGCAAUAACAGGUCUGUGAUGCCCUUAGAUGUCCGGGGCUGCACGCGCGCUACACUGGCAAACGCAACGUGCCUGUCCUGCCCCGAAAGGAGCGGGUAAACCCAUGAAAUUUUGCCGUGAUUGGGAUCGGACAUUGCAACUAUUGUCCGUGAACGAGGAAUUCCUUGUAGGGGCGAGUCAUCAACUCGUCCCGAAUACGUCCCUGCCCUUUGUACACACUGGCGAUGUGGGAUGAACCAAAUGCAGAGUUAAGGUGCCAAAGUGCCCGCUCAUUAGACCCCAUAAAAGGUGUUGGUCGAUAUAGACAGCAGGACGGUGGCCAUGGAAGUCGGAAUCCGCUAAGGAGUGUGUAACAACUCACCUGCCG